rnacentral:RNase_P_RNA from 1 species
GGAGUCGGCCGGACAGUCGCGUCGUUCCUUCGGGAACGACGAGGAAAGUCCGGGCUCCACAGGGCAAGGUGCCAGGUAACGCCUGGGCGGCGCGAGCCGACGGAAAGUGCAACAGAAAGAUACCGCCUAAGUUCCUCGUCACCCCAUUGCGGCCCAUGGAUGGCCGCUGGCGAUGCGAAGCAUCGCCCAAGUCUUCUGGACAGGCCGCAAUGGGGUGGCGAGGGACCGGUAAGGGUGAAAUGGUGCGGUAAGAGCGCACCGCGAGUCCGGCAACGGACCGGCACGGCAAACCCCACCUGGAGCAAGACCAAAUAGGGACCUAAUGGCGUGGCCCGCGUCGGGUCCGGGUAGGUUGCUCGAGCGCCACGGCGACGUGGCGCCUAGAAGAAUGACUGUCCACGACAGAACCCGGCUUACAGGCCGGCUCCGCCG